UCCCUUCAGUUAGCAUUAGGGUUCUAAACCCUAAACUAAACCUUUAUCCAUUCAGCCAGCAUUAGGGUUUUAAACCUUAAACUGAGCUUUUCCAUGAUAUCAGCAUUAGGGUUUUAAACCCUAAACUGAACUUUUCCUUUAGUCAGCAUUAGGGUUUUAAACCCUAAACUGAACUUUUUUCCAUUCAGCCAGCAUUAGGGUUUUAAACCCUAAACUAAACUUUUCUAUGCAAUUGGCAUUAGGGUUUUAAACCCUAAACUGAAUUUUCCCUUCAGUUAGCAUUAGGGUUCUAAACCCUAAACUAAACUUUUAUCCAUUCAGCCAGCAUUAGGGUUUUAAACCUUAAACUGAGCUUUUCCAUGAUAUCAGCAUUAGGGUUUUAAACCCUAAACUGAAUUUUCCCUUUAGUUAGCAUUAGGGUUUUAAACCCUAAACUGAACUUUUUCCCUUCAGCCAGCAUUAGGGUUUUAAACCCUAAACUGAGCUUUUUCCAUUCAGCCAGCAUUAGUGUUUUAAACCCUAAACUGAGCUUUUCCAUGCAGUCAGCAUUAGGGUUUUAAACUCUAAACUGAAUUUCUCCUUUUAGUCAGCAUUAGGGUUUUAAACCCUAAACUGAACUUUUCCUUUAGUCAACAUUAGGGUUUUAAACCCUAAACUGAACUUUUUCCAUUCAGCUAGCAUUAGAGUUUUAAACCAUA
rnacentral:lncRNA from 1 species